AGCAGCCGCGGUAAUUCCAGCUCCAAUAGCGUAUAUUAAAGUUGCUGCAGUUAAAAAGCUCGUAGUUGAAUUUCGGGACCAUCAUGUUGGUCGUGCCUCGGUACGUACUGGCAUUGUUGGUUUCUCCCUUCUGACGAACCAUGAUGUCAUUUAUUUGGUGUCGUGGGAAAUCGGGACUGUUACUUUGAAAAAAUUAGAGUGUUUAAAGCAGGCUCACGCUUGAAUACAUUAGCAUGGAAUAAUGAAAUAGGACGUUUGAUUCUAUUUUGUUGGUUUCUAGGAUCGACGUAAUGAUUAAUAGGGAUAGUUGGGGGCAUUAGUAUUCAAUUGUCAGAGGUGAAAUUCUUGGAUUUAUUGAAGACUAACUACUGCGAAAGCAUUUGCCAAGGAUGUUUUCAUUAAUCAAGAACGAAAGUUAGGGGAUCGAAGACGAUCAGGUACCGUCGUAGUCUUAACCAUAAACUAUGCCGACUAGGGAUCGGAUGAUGUUAAUUUUUUAAUGACUCAUUCGGCGCCUUAC
rnacentral:rRNA from 1 species